GUACGGUUAAUGUAUUAUAUUAUUGAGGGAGAAUUUGUCCGGGGCUAAAGAAAAAACAUCCGGGGCUAAAGCCCCGGAUGCCUACCCCAGGCGACGCCCAUGGUUGAAACAUCUGGCAAGAAGGCAGAAGGAUUUCAGAUCGAGUCUCUGGAUGGAAAAGUCCUCAUCUCUCUUCCACCAAUCAUUGAAUGUCACGAGAUCCCAAAUAAUCGGUCUGAGAUUCCCACACCCAGUGCCGUUCUUCACCAGCCUCAUCUUCAUCAUAUUGCCAAUCACAUCCCAGAACUGGACCAAGAAGCCGAAAUACUUCUGCUCCUUGGAAGAGACGUCCUUCAGGCACACAAGGUCAGGCAGCAGGUCAACGGACCACACAACGCCCCCUUUGCCCAACGACUGGACCUGGGCUGGGUAGUGAUAGGAGAGGUGUGCCUGGGUAAUGUGCAUAAGCCCAUAGUCAACGUGUUUAAAACCAACGUGUUGGACAGUGGUCGCCAUUCAAUGUUCGAUCCAUGCACAAGCUUUAUGCAUGUUAAAGAGACAGCAAAGCUUCAGCAGACCUGGCAAGGUUACUGAGAAAAUGCUGGGACAGAUAGUGUUCAAUCAAACUGAACAUGACAACAGACCAGCUCCGUCAGUGGAAAAUGUCACCUUCUUAAAGAUAAUGGACAAGAGUGUCUACAGAGACGACGCCAACAGUUGGGUCGCUCCACUACCAUUUAGAGAACCACGCAGGCCUUUGCCGAACAACAAAGUGCAGGCAGUGAACAGGUUCACUUCCCUGCAACCAACCUUAAAAAGGAAACCUGAGACGCAGGAGCAGUAUGUGGCGUUCAUGAAAAAGAUCUUUGCCAACGGACAUGCUGAGUUAGCACCGCCAUUGAGAGAAGAUGAGGAGUGCUGGUAUCCCCCAACCUUUGGGGUGUAUCAUCCAAAAAAGCCAAACAUUAUCAGGGUGGUCUUUGACUCCAGCGCCAAGUACUCUGGUGUCUCCCUCAACGACGUUCUCCUCACGGAUACAGACAACCCCUUCAUACUUUCACCAUCAAUGCUCCUAACACAGAAGACAGGAGUUCUGCCUCCACCAGGAGACUUCUCUGACAAAGACUUGUACACAAAGCAAUGGAGACAAGUUCAAACUCUAGCCAACCAGUUCUGGAACCGCUGGAGGAGAGAAUAUCUACCUUCUUUGCAGCAUCGACAGAAGUGGACAGUGCAAUGCAGAAACCUUCAAGUUGGAGAUCUAGUUCUGCUCAGAGACAAGCAGGUGACCCGCAACUGCUGGCCUAUGGCCAGGAUCAUAUCCACAUUUCCUGGAAAGGAUGGAAAUGUAAGAAAAGUUGAAGUGAAGACGACGGACCAAGGCACAAUUAAGACAGUUCUCAGACCAAUUGCAGAAGUUGUUCUGCUUCUACCAGAAGACUGAUUCUAAGUUUAGUGACCUCACAGAGGUCAGACGGGGAGUGUGCUGUCUUAAAGGCAUGUUAUGUUAUAAUUUGUUUGCAGUUCAUAAAGUCACCACUAGGAGUGCUAAUGGUCAUGUUAUCUUUAAGUUCGCCGUUCUUAGCGUCACUUCCGGUUUACGGCAUCGCCACUUCCGGUUUAACAUUAGAGAAACGGCAUGGCCAGAGAGUGUAUUUCUCCAAAUAUAAUCUGCUUCCAUCCACAAGAAACAUCCUAGAGGCAAUGCUAUUCUGGAUGUGCGAAACGUCAUGGUGGUCGUGUCUCGAUGGUACGGAGGUAUUUUAUUGGGUCCUGACCGUUUCAAACACAUCAACAACUGUGCCAGAAAUAUCCUGGUGGAGGAAGGUUACACUGCCUCCACGGAUGAGGCCACCAAAUCUGGAGCGAAGAUCAAAAGGCCAAAAAGCAAGAAGAUGAAAUGAAUGUGGGACAAGACUAAAAAGACUUUUAUUCAAACACAUUU